AGAAAAAAGAAACAGCACAUUCAUUUUGCAUUCACUUUCUCAUGAUCUCUCCAUCUCAUCUCUUUUAUUUCUUCUCUGUUUUAAAUCUUUCUCAGAAUCAGUUUCCUUUGAGUCACUUGAAAGAUGGUAGGAAUGUAUUUUACCAAGUCCACCACUAGCAUUAGAGCAAUCAAUCCAAAAUGAUGGUCUUUUCUUAGGAGAUUUGAACAAAGUGGAAUGGCAAUCACUUCUGUUAUCAGAUGCCUAAAUCACAUUGCAUAUCAUUACAUAAUCAUCUUCAAACAUCAGCAAAUGUGAUGCGACAUCACAGGGAUUAUUUCCCCAUGCGAAUAAUCCAUCAACAUUAAAGGAAAACAAACAGAGAACUGGCUGGAGUCUGGAUGUCAGGGACCACAGUGGCGGUGGACUGGUUCAGAUGAUAUCUUCACCCCUUCAGGCUUAAGGGACAAACAGAGACACACAACAGAGAAAGCAAAGAAAAUAUAUUUUCCGUGCUUAUGUAAUUCUGAAGUGAUUCAUUGCAUUUCUUCUCACUCUACAUACUGUACCUUCAUAUGUGUUUUUUCUUGAAUUUUUCUGUCUUUGUCCAGACACGUCUAGGUUGCUUCAGUUUUGUUGUAGACCACAAGAGAAGCAAGUUAUGCUGUUAUCAUGUCUGUACUACAGGGUAGAGCUGCUCGUUUUGGUCCUGUUUACACCUGGCACUAUCCUGUGUGUUUGGUUUCAUGACAGCUGGGAAAAAAAGGCCUGAAGAGUGCUUUACAAUCAUAUGGGGGGACCUCGCCUCAACCACCACCAGUGUGCAGCAUCCACCUGGAUGAUGUGACGGCAGCCACAGGACAACGGCGCCAGUGCACUCACACCAGCUACAGGUGGAGAGGAGAGAGAGAUAGAGCCAAUCAAGUGGAUGGGGAUUAUUAGGAGGCCAUGAUUGACAAGGGUCAGUGGCGGCAAUUUGGCCAGGACACCAGGGUUACACCCCUACUCUUUACAAGAAGUGCCAUGGGAUUUUUUUAAUGACCACAGGGAGUCCGGACCUCGGUUUACCGUCUCAUCCCAAAGACGGUGCUUUUUGACAGUAUAAUGUCCCCGUCACUAUACUGGGGCGUCUCAUCCAGGUACUGACCAGGUUCAACCCUGCUUAGCUUUUUUGAUUAAUGCAUGGUAUGUUACAUAAUAUAGAUAGACAUUAUUACAGUGACAUUCAAGACAAUGAACACAUAACCCUAUUGCAUGCUUGUACACUUUUAAUGACCACUGCAGAUGGAUGUCCCCUCAAAAAGUGCACUUGUACUGUAUAAACAAGCACAAGACUAGAUGGAACUUCUUCUGUAUGUUUGACACCAUGUGAAGCUCAUGGUACUGCUUUAAAAUAAUUGACAAAAUGCUGCUGGCAAUAUCAUGAUGUGUGUGUUUACAUUAAA